UACGUAGGGUGCAAGCGUUGUCCGGAAUUAUUGGGCGUAAAGGGCUCGUAGGCGGUCCAUCGCGUCGGGUGUGAAAAGCUGGGGCUUAACCCCAGUCCUGCUUCCGAUACGGGUGGACUAGAGGUAGGUAGGGGAGAUCGGAAUUCCUGGUGUAGCGGUGAAAUGCGCAGAUAUCAGGAGGAACACCGGUGGCGAAGGCGGAUCUCUGGGCCUUACCUGACGCUGAGGAGCGAAAGCGUGGGGAGCAAACAGG
rnacentral:rRNA from 1 species